rnacentral:rRNA from 1 species
CCUACGGGUGACAGCAGUGAGGAAUAUUGGUCAAUGGACGGAAGUCUGAACCAGCCAUGCCGCGUGCAGGAAGACGGCGCUAUGAGGUGUAAACUGCUUUUGUACAAGGGUAAACCGGAAUACGUGUAUGCAGCUGAAAGUACUGUACGAAUAAGGAUCGGCUAACGCCGUGCCAGCAGCCGCGGUAAGACGGAGGAUCCAAGCGUUAUCCGGAUUUAUUGGGUUUAAAGGGUGCGUAGGCGGCUUGAUAAGUUAGAGGUGAAAGGUCCGAGCUUAACUCGGGAACGGCCUCUCAUACUGUUGUUCUCGCGCUUAGCUGCGGUAGGCGGAAUGUUUUUUGUAGCUG